rnacentral:misc_RNA from 1 species
UACGAAGGGGGCUAGCGUUGUUCGGAAUUACUGGGCGUAAAGCGCACGUAGGCGGACAUUUAAGUCAGGGGUUAAAUCCCGGGGCUCAACCCCGGAACUGCCUUUGAUAAUGGGUGUCUCGAGUCCGCAAGAGGUGAGUGGAAUUCCGAGUGUAGAGGUGAAAUUCGUAGAUAUUCGGAGGAACACCAGUGGCGAGGGCGGCUCACUGGUCCGGUACUGACGCUGAGGUGCGAAAGCGUGGGGAGCAAACAGG